rnacentral:rRNA from 1 species
AUUGAACGCUGGCGGCAUGCCUUACACAUGCAAGUCGAACGGCAGCACGGGAGCAAUCCUGGUGGCGAGUGGCGAACGGGUGAGUAAUGUAUCGGAACGUGCCCAGUCGUGGGGGAUAACGUAGCGAAAGCUACGCUAAUACCGCAUACGAUCUAUGGAUGAAAGCGGGGGAUCGCAAGACAUCGCGCGAUUGGAGCGGCUGAUAUCAGAUUAGGUAGGUGGUGGGGUAAAGGCUCACCAAGCCGACGAUCUGUAGCUGGUCUGAGAGGACGACCAGCCACACUGGGACUGAGACACGGCCCAGACUCCUACGGGAGGCAGCAGUGGGGAAUUUUGGACAAUGGGCGCAAGCCUGAUCCAGCAAUGCCGCGUGCAGGAUGAAGGCCUUCGGGUUGUGAACUGCUUUUGUACGGAACGAAACGGCGAGCUCUAAUACAGUUUGCUAAUGACGGUACCGUAAGAAUAAGCACCGGCUAACUACGUGCCAGCCGCCGCAGUAA